rnacentral:tRNA from 1 species
UCAAAAAAAAAAAAAGAUUUUUAUGGUAACUGAGAUAAAUAUUUAUACUGCGCUUUUACUAG